ensembl:snRNA U6 U6 spliceosomal RNA
GCUCACUGCAGCAGCGCAUGUACUAAAAUGGGGAUGAUGCAGAGAAGAUGAACAUGGCCCCUGCAUGAGGAUGACAUGCAAAUUCGUGAAGCCUUCCAGCUUUUU